rnacentral:rRNA from 1 species
AGGAUAAACGCUGGCGGCGUGCCUAACACAUGCAAGUCGAACGUCUCUUUCUUCGGGAAGAGGAGUGGCGGACGGGUGAGGAACACGUGGGAACCUGCCCUACAGUGAGGAAUACCGGCGAGAAAUCGCCGACAAGACCGCAUAGCCCUCUCUGGUGAGAGCCAGAGAAGGAAAGCUUCGCAAGAGGCGCUGGAGGAGGGGCCUGCGUCCGAUUAGCUAGUUGGUGGGGUAAGAGCCUACCAAGGCGUCGAUCGGUAGCUGGUCUGAGAGGACGAUCAGCCACACUGGGAUUGAGAACGGCCCAGACUCCUACGGGGGGCAGCAGUGAGGAAUUUUCGGCAAUGGGGGAAACCCUGACCGAGCAACGCCGCGUGCAGGAAGACGGCCUUCGGGUUGUAAACUGCUUUUCUUUGGGACGAGCAAGGACGGUACCAGAGGAAUCAGCCCCGGCUCACUACGUGCCAGCAGCCGC